UGCCAGACUCCUACGGGAGGCAGCAGUGGGGAAUAUUGGGCAAUGGGGGAAACCCUGAUGCAGCGACGCCGCGUGAGCGAUGAAGUAUUUCGGUAUGUAAAGCUCUAUCAGCAGGGAAGAAGAUGACGGUACCUGACUAAGAAGCCCCGGCUAACUACGUGCCAGCAGCCGCGGUAAUACGUAGGGGGCAAGCGUUAUCCGGAUUUACUGGGUGUAAAGGGAGCGUAGACGGCGAUGCAAGCCAGAUGUGAAAGCCCGGGGCUCAACCCCGGGACUGCAUUUGGAACUGUGUGGCUGGAGUGUCGGAGAGGCAGGCGGAAUUCCUAGUGUAGCGGUGAAAUGCGUAGAUAUUAGGAGGAACACCAGUGGCGAAGGCGGCCUGCUGGACGAUGACUGACGUUGAGGCUCGAAAGCGUGGGGAGCAAACAGGAUUAGAUACCCCAGUAA
rnacentral:rRNA from 1 species